rnacentral:rRNA from 1 species
CCUACGGGUGGCAGCAGUGAGGAAUAUUGGUCAAUGGGCGCGAGCCUGAACCAGCUAAGCAGCGUGAAGGAUGACUGCCCUACGGGUUGUAAACUUCUUAUAUAAAGGAAUAAAGUGACGCACGUGUGCCUAUUUGUAUGUACUUUAUGAAUAAGGUUCGGCUAACUUCGUGCCAGCAGCCGCGGUAAUAUGGAGGGUGCGAGCGUUAAUCGGAUUUACUGUGCGUAAAGCGCUAGUAGGCGGUAUGUCAAGUCAAGUGUGAAAUCCCCGCGCUCAACGUGGGAACUGCAUUUGAAACUGGCAAACUGGAGUGUGUGAGAGGAUGGUGGAAUUCCAGGUGUAGGAGUGAAAUCCGUAGAUAUCUGGAGGAACACCGGUGGCGAAGGCGGCUAUCUGGCACAUAACUGACGCUGAGGAGCGAAAGCGUGGGUAGCAAACAGGAUUAGAUACCCCAGUAGUC